rnacentral:misc_RNA from 1 species
AAGUCGUAACAAGGUUUCCGUAGGUGAACCUGCGGAAGGAUCAUUACAAAUAAAGCUGGUAGGAAGUGGGGUCUUAGGAUCCUGGUAAGGUGGUAGAGGCCGGAACCCAGUCCGGCUGCCUUCCCGAAAUGUCUUACAUGUCCCCCAUCAGCCUGAAGGCCGCAAUUGACAAGCCCCGUUUGGAUUUAUCUACGACCUUGUUGCUUUGGGGGUGGCUCAAGUGCCCCAGUAGGACCCAACUCUCUUGCAUUUAGUGACGUCUGAUGUACUAUAUAAUAUUUAAAA